rnacentral:rRNA from 1 species
CAGUCGCCGCGGGAAUACGGAGGGUGCAAGCGUUAAUCGGAAUUACUGGGCGUAAAGCGCACGCAGGCGGUCUGUCAAGUCAGAUGUGAAAUCCCCGGGCUUAACCUGGGAACUGCAUUUGAAACUGGCAGGCUAGAGUCUUGUAGAGGGGGGUAGAAUUCCAGGUGUAGCGGUGAAAUGCGUAGAGAUCUGGAGGAAUACCGGUGGCGAAGGCGGCCCCCUGGACAAAGACUGACGCUCAGGUGCGAAAGCGUGGGGAGCAAACAGGAUUAGAGACCCCUGUAGUCCCUGUCUCUUAUAA